CCUACGGGUGGCAGCAGUGAGGAAUAUUGGUCAAUGGGGGGAACCCUGAUGCAGCGACGCCGCGUGGGUGAAGAAGCGCCUCGGCGCGUAAAGCCCUGUCAGCAGGGAAGAAAAUGACGGUACCUGAAGAAGAAGCCCCGGCUAACUACGUGCCAGCAGCCGCGGUAAUACGUAGGGGGCAAGCGUUAUCCGGAUUUACUGGGUGGAAAGGGGGCGCAGACGGCGAUGCAAGCCAGGAGUGAAAGCCCGGGGCCCAACCCCGGGACUGCGCUUGGAACUGCGUGGCUGGAGUGCAGGAGGGGCAGGCGGAAUUCGUGGUGUAGCGGUGAAAUGCGUAGAUAUCAGGCGGAACACCGGUGGCGAAGGCGGCCUGCUGGACUGCAACUGACGUUGAGGCCCGAAAGCGUGGGGAGCAAACAGGAUUAGAUACCCGUGUAGUC
rnacentral:rRNA from 1 species